UGUAAUGCAGAGGCACUGUCCUCAACACAUUUUCCUCCUUGGGUUAAACAUUGUGUGUUUGCCCAUUAAAUCCACUUUAAAGGUGAAUUCUGUGAAUAAAGAUCUUAUCGUUCCAUAAGCAUCCUCAUGGUUUUGGGGCUGUUGACCUACGGCUCAGCCACCGUACCACUUCUAGUUUUCUACCCUUGCCAAGGGAAUAACAGCUUUAUGUGAAGGGCACCGCAGAAUCUCAUCCUCAUAAUGUUUUCUUUUGUUUAAUUUCAGAAACUAUCCCAGGAGAGGGUGAGAAGUAAGUACUGUGAAGUAACUCACUUCAUGAAGGACCAACUUGCUGCUUGAGUGUAUAGAAACCUGAUUGUGGGAUCCCACUAGGAAGGAGGAUUGGGGGUCUCCUGAGAGAAAGUGAUUUGGCCAAUAUAGAACUCCAGCCAGAGAGGCUGUAGGAAGGUUUGUCUACCCAGAGCAAAGACCAGGAAAUGAUGUGUGAGGCAGCGUGGCUUCAGCUGGAGGAAGAGGCGUGGGCCAGUAGAUUUGUGUACACCCAUCUGACCCCAGCCAUGUAGUGCCGGUGUUCCCUCUGAAG